rnacentral:lncRNA from 1 species
AUCCAAUCUGGCAACCUUAGUACUGUUGGACUGUUGCUUUGCAUGACAGCCAAUACUUCUAUUAUGCUUUAUCUGCUAAGUCCUGUUAUUGUUAUAUGCUGUCAAGUCAGUUUUGACUUGACACUUUCGUUUAGGGUUUGUUGUUGUGCUCCUCCUCAUAAUUUAACUAGCACAAAGCCUCAUUUGUCCUGAAUUCGGCACUGACUCUAAAACAGUGGUUCUCAACCUGUAGGACCCCAGGUGUUUUGGCCUACAACUCCAGAAAUCUCAGCCAGUUUACCAGCUGUUAGGAUUUCUGGGAGUUGAAGGCCAAAACAUCUGGGGACCCACAGGUUGAGAACCAUUGCUCUAAGGCAAACCCUUCAUGGGAUUUUCUUGGCAAGACUUGUUCAGAGGGAGCUUGCUUUGCCUUUGUUUGAGGCUAAGAGAGUGCGAUUUGUCCAAGCUCUCUCAAUGGGUUUCUAAGGCUGAUGAAAGAUACAAACCCUGGUCUCAAGUCAUAGUUCAGUACUCUCUAGCUACUACAUCAUGCUGGUAACAGAGUCAAAAAUGGAAAGGGUAUCUGUACCUUAAAUAAGGAAUUUCAGCAGGUGAUGUAUGUACCUGAUUCCAUGACAAGUAACAUAGAGCACCUGCUGAAAUUCCCUAUUUAAGGUACAGGAGCCCUCUCCAUUUUCCACCAGAUAACUUACACCACCAGCUGAAAUUUCCUCAUCUACAUGACAAUUAAAGUGACGACAAAGCUUCCAUCUCCUGCAGUCUAACCCAUUUGAAGAGCUGGUUUUGCAGGGAUUCUCAGCCAGAAGCUGAUUAUAUAGACCCAUACUGGAGGUCUAAAGAGGCAUUUCUUGGCAUUUCGUAGGCCUUCCAGAGUGAUUCUGUGGUAUAUUUCAGCUGAAAUUCCAACAUUGUUCAUUUCAGAUUCAGAAGGCAGAAAACAAUACUUGGUUGGUUCAGCUGGACUUUGCGUCUUCACUGAGAGACAGGCACGGCGACUCAAGUUCUGCCAUUUUUUGGCUAAGACCAUCUCUGACAACACCUGGUUCUCAACAGGGAAUAGCAGAGGCCACUGGUUCAGCGUGGACCAUACCCUCAAAUAAAUUAAGUGCCAUGGGACAGCUAAACAUGCAGUUAAUAAAAAUAACUAAACCAGGCGAUGCUGCUGACAUUUGUAUUUGUAUUUGUAAAACUGUGCUUGAAUUCGUUUUUGAUUUUAUACUGCUUGUUAUUUAUUGUUUGUUUUAUAUUUUAACUUGUUACACUUUGUCUUUUUGGGCUUGGCCCCAUGUUAGCCACCCCGAGUCCCUUCGGGGAGAUGGUGGCGGGAUACAAAAAUAAAGUAUUAUUAUAAUAUUAUUAUUAUUAACUGGCUAGAUGGAGCAACUCUAAUACAUGCCAAUGGCCCAUUGACACUAUUCUGGGGUUCCCGACUCUCCAAAAGCAAGUACCGGUUUUAGAAAAGGAGAUCUUGUUUGUCCAGACCAAAGUAAGGAGAGAGCAGGUUUCAUUGCCUCCCCCAUUUGACAUUAUGCUGUUCAUUUUCAUUUUUUUCCACCUGCAGAUGUAACAGACUUCUUCAGAAACCAGUAUAGUAUAAUCCCUGUAUCCAAGGGGGAUAUGUUCCCAGAUUUUGUGUGAAUAAUACUUUUUUUUUCAUGUCAGGAGCGACUUGAGAAACUGCAAGUCACUUCUGGUGUGAGAGAAUUUGCCGUCUGUGAGGACGUUGCCCAGGGGAUGCUCGGAUGUUUUGAUGUUUUUACCAUCCUUGUGGGAGGCUUCUCUCAUGUCCGCAUGGAGCUGGAGCUGAUAGAGGGAGCUCAUCUGCGCUCUCCCGGGGUGGGAUUCGAACCUGGCAGCCUUCAGGUCAGCAACCCAACCUUCAAGUUACAAGGCUUUAACCCACUACGCCACUGGGGGCUCCAUGUGAAUAUAUGAAACCGCAGAUUAAAUAAUUAAAUAUUAUUGAAAUGAAGGACUUCUGGCCCAAGAAUA